rnacentral:siRNA from 1 species
CUAUAAUCAAUCAACUCUCGUUGC